rnacentral:lncRNA from 1 species
GGCUAUGAGGUAAACCUUCAUUUCGUUCUUCUUCUCCAUAUGGAUACUAUUUUAUCGUACACAAGUAGUAAUAUUUUGUGGUGUGAACAGGAUGACAUGAGUAGAGGGGUUGAUAUGAAUGUCGUCAACUACUAUAUGAAGCAACACAAUGUUAGCAAAGAGGAAACAUAUAGGGAGUUUAAUAAAAUGGUUAGAGAUACUAAUAAGGUGGUAAAUGAAGAGUUUUUGAAGUUGGCGAAAACAAUGCCAAUUCAUAUCCUCCACCGAGCCAUUAAUUGCGGAAUUAUGACGACUAUCACCUAUAGUGAUGGUGAUGGAUACGCCAAUCCCAUUGGAAAAUUCAAAGAACAUAUCACCUCUUUGUUCGUAGAUUUGAUGCCCCUUUGAAUAUCAAAAGAUCAUAUUCAUAUGGCGUGUUAUGCGAUGAGAUAUUAUCCAUUUGCAAUUAGAUCAAAAUUGUUGCAAGAAUAAAUCCAACAAAACUUAUUGGUGGCUUCAAUUUAUGUGUUAGUGUAUUUUGCAUAACUUUAACUAUAUGGUUAGUGCAUUUUCUCAAUUUGGACCUUUUUGUGUGUUCCUUAAUUUAUUUUUCUAUUAAUCUACUUUCUUAAGACCAAAAUAGCUAGUUAAUAUAACCACUUAAACUUUAUUCCCUAAAUGACUUGUAGUUAAGAGCACCUCCAUUAAUGAGUUUCUUAGAUAGUUUCUAAGUAUCUAUAUUAUUAAAGGAGUAGUCAAAAGGCAUCAUGUUCGCUCUCAGAAAAAAAUUACUUAAUUACCCUUAAUGAAAACCCCGAGUUAUAACUUUUUUUUUUAAUCUUUAUUAAUUAAAACAAAACAAUUAAAAUCGAGUAUAUUGAAGACAAAAUGGAAAAUUUGCUCAGAACGGAUUAUUGUUUUACAUAUAAUGAAAAAUUACCCCUGCUUUAUAAUUUGUUGUUAGCCCUUAUUUAAUCAAAACCAAACAAUAAAAAUUGGAAAUGUCUUAACUAAAAUCGGAAAUUUCAUAACUAAAGCCGAAAAGUUUUUAAAAAUGUCGUAUAUAAUGUUUCAAUUUAGGAUUUAGAGGAAAUGGACUUACGUAAAAAAACCCGCUAAAAAACACCUCAUAAAUACUAGGAUUUCUAUGCUCUCUCCAUAACUAAAAAAUAUAAAUCUUUAGUUUUCUAUCAUGUUUGCGGAAUUAUAUUUUGAUACUAAUCUUUUUUCUUCCUCUUAUUCAUCAUCGUCUAAAUUUCUGUUUUCAUUUUCAUGUUCGUGUAGUGGUUGUUUAGAAAGCAAGAUCAAAGAAUACUACACAUUUGUAUAUGGUUACAUCACCUUUUGAAUUAUGUAUAUUAUCUCAUAAUUCAUUUAUUAUUUUAAACUAUAUUUAUUCCGAAUUUUUUUUAUUUAAUUUUUAUAUUGGUUAUUUUUUUUGUAGAGGAUGUUAAAGAAUAUGUUACAUUGCUCUCUACAAAUUCAAGAUCUAAAUACUUAAGUUGGAUGGAAAGCAAUUUAAUAGAUGUUGAAGCAAGCAAGUAUAAAUAUGAAGAAUUUUCAAUGGUAUUUGUUUGGUGUGGUCAAGAAAAUCAAUCGAAGCGAAGGUCCAAAAAAAGAAAGAAUCAACCUUAAGAAUCAACCCUUAGGUGUCAACCCUUAAGGCGGCGGAGCUCGGGUUACUUCGCUAGUUAAAAGUAAUUAGAAAAUGAAAACAACAAAAAAAACUUUAAGAAUCAAUCCUUAGGUGUCAGCAUUUCAUUGGUUAAUAACUAGAAGACGAGGAAAAAACAAAUCUUAUCUUGUUUAUUUUUGUUUUUGCUCACCUCAUGGGAUUCUUAACCAUUGGAGGUAAAAAUUUAAAAACUCUUACAUAAGUUCUUAGGUUUAAAAAUUAUAGAAAAUCCAAAUUCAUAAAUCAGUAGUCUUUGUUUCAUUGCACUCUUCCAAAUUCAGAAAAGAGAUUAUAACAAAGUAUUACUAUAAAUUAUAGAAAAUCCAAAAAUAAAUCGUAUAUAAAUUUUGAGACGAGUCAUUGUUUCAUUGCACAAUCUAAUGGUCUGAUGUUACAGUUAACACAAUCUAACAACACAGUCACAAACGUAACCAAUCACAAACUUUCAGCACAAAGUUCUCUAAACGUGAAGAGGAAAAGGGGAGAGGGAGAGAGUUAUAAUCCAACAUGAACACACAAAAAAAUCACUUUUUCGAAAUGAGAGAGAUUAAAGACAAAACCCAUGAAACCAAAUGAAUCAUAAAACACAGAACAAAUCCCAAAAACGUUUCUGACCAAAUCAAUUGAAAUUUCUUUCAAACAAUCAAUAGAGAAACAAAAGACGGGGUUUUUAAUGUAAUUGAGGGAUUAGAGAUAGAGACCUCUGAAUCUACACAACUUUCUUCUUCUGAAUCUUUCGUUGGAGCACUUGGUCGAAGAAGAAUCAAUCAGAAGUUUGCUGAAAUCUUUCGUCGUAGCACUUGGUUUUUAAUGUAAUCAUUGUUUGCUAAAUGAACCCUAGAGAC